CUGGCCCUCUAUCGAACGGCAAAAGACAGUCUCUUUUCGGUCACUCAGAUUACCGUGAAAAUGGGGGAAGCUAUCACGAUCAGAACAAGGAAGUUUAUGACCAACCGCCUUCUCAACAGAAGGCAAAUGGUUGUUGAUGUGAUCCAUCCAGGCCAAGCCACCGUCAAGAAGACGGAGAUCCGCGAGCGCCUUGCUCAGGCCUACAAGACCACACCCGAUGUCAUCUUCGCCUUUGGCUUCAAGACCCAGUUUGGUGGCGGACGCACCUCAGGAUUUGCCCUCAUCUACGACACCCUGGACUUUGCCAAGAAAUACGAACCCAAAUACAGAUUAGCCAGACAUGGACUUUACGAGAAGCCCAAGACCUCGUCCAAGCAGAGGAAAGAAAGGAAGAACAGACAGAAGAAGGUCCGCGGAACCAAGAAGACGAAGGUGACGGCAGGCAAGAAGCGUUGAUCAUUUUAGAGUUUUGAAUAUGAUCACGGACUGUUCCUAUUCCACUUCAGUAAACUGGCAUUCCCCCUACACAUCAUGCAGCCGUAUUCUGAGAUCGACACUACUCACCACACAUCACUCAAAAUCAAUGUGUAACUGUUAAUAAAUGGAUUAACUAGCAGGAA